rnacentral:rRNA from 1 species
UGCGUAGGCGGACUAAUAAGUCAGUGGUGAAAUCUCUCGGCUCAACCGAGAAACUGCCAUUGAAACUGAUAGCCUUGAGUAUGGUUGUGGUAGGCGGAAUAUAGCAUGUAGCGGUGAAAUGCUUAGAUAUGCUAUAGAACACCGAUCGCGAAGGCAGCUUACCAAACCAUUACUGACGCUCAUGCACGAAAGCGUGGGGAGCAAACAGGAUUAGAUACCCUGGUAGUCC